GACGAAGGGGGCUAGCGUUGUUCGGAAUUACUGGGCGUAAAGCGAGUGUAGGCGGUUAUCCAAGUCAGGUGUGAAAGCCUUGAGCUCAACUCAAGAAAUGCACUUGAUACUGGGUGACUAGAGGACCGGAGAGGAUAGUGGAAUUCCCAGUGUAGUGGUGAAAUACGUAGAGAUUGGGAAGAACACCAGUGGCGAAGGCGGCUAUCUGGACGGUUACUGACGCUAAGACUCGAAAGCGUGGGGAGCAAACAGG
rnacentral:rRNA from 1 species